GACGUAGGGGGCAAGCGUUGUCCGGAUUUACUGGGCGUAAAGCGCGUGCAGGCGGUCCGCUAAGUCCCGUGUUAAAGCCUCCGGCUCAACUGGAGAACGCCGCGGGAGACUGGUGGGCUUGAGGGCGGUAGAGGGUGAUGGAAUUCCCGGUGUAGCGGUGAAAUGCGUAGAUAUCGGGAGGAACGCCAGUGGCGAAGGCGGUCACCUGGGCCGUCCCUGACGCUGAGACGCGAAAGCUGGGGGAGCAAACGGG
rnacentral:rRNA from 1 species